rnacentral:tRNA from 1 species
GCCCGGGUGGCGAAAUCGGUAGACGCGGGGGACUUAAAAUCCCUUUCUUCGGAGUGCGGGUUCGAGUCCCGCCCCGGGCA